rnacentral:rRNA from 1 species
UACGUAGGGGGCUAGCGUUGUCCGGAUUUAUUGGGCGUAAAGAACGUGUAGGCGGCCAGGUAGGUCGGUUGUGAAAACUGGAGGCUCAACCUUCAGAGGUCGACCGAAACCAUCUGGCUAGAGUCCGGGAGAGGAGAGUGGAAUUCCUGGUGUAGCGGUGAAAUGCGCAGAUAUCAGGAGGAACACCCGAGUGGCGAAAGGCAGUGUUCUGGGCCAAGUACUGACGUGGAGGAGCGAAAGACGUGGGGGAGCAAACAGG